AUACGGAGGAUGCAAGCGUUAUCCGGAUUUAUUGGGUUUAAAGGGUGCGUAGGCUGUCUGUCAAGUCAGGGGUGAAAUGCCACAGCUUAACUGUGGAACUGCCUUUGAUACUGGCAGGCUGGAAUACGGUAGACGUGGGUGGAAUGUGUUGUGUAGCGGUGAAAUGCAUAGAUAUUACUCAGAACACCGAUUGCGAAGGCAUCUCACGAAUCCGUCAUUGACGCUGAGGCACGAAAGCGUGGGGAUCAAACAGGAUUAGAUACCCUGGUAGUCCACGCAGUAAACGAUGAUAACUAACCGUCGGCGAUACAAUGUCGGUGGCCAAGCGAAAGCGAUAAGUUAUCCACCUGGGGAGUACGUUCGCAAGAAUGAAACUCAAAUGAAUUGGCGGGG
rnacentral:rRNA from 1 species